UUUAUGGAGAGUUUGAUCCUGGCUCAGGAUGAACGCUGGCGGCGUGCCUAAUACAUGCAAGUCGAGCGAACAGAUAAGGAGCUUGCUCCUUUGACGUUAGCGGCGGACGGGUGAGUAACACGUGGGUAACCUACCUAUAAGACUGGAAUAACUCCGGGAAACCGGGGCUAAUGCCGGAUAACAUUUAGAACCGCAUGGUUC
rnacentral:rRNA from 1 species